rnacentral:lncRNA from 1 species
CAUGCCCAAGCUAUGAAGUCAAAGUCAACCCUUGCUGAAAUCUAAAUCCACGCACCACUAACCUGCACAUGAAGCUAUUUUCAACAAUCAGAGAAGAUACCCAAUGGCAUGUCUUGACACAGGGAGAAAGCUGCAGGCAUCCAAUGCUCAGAAGGAAGACUACACUCUUCCCAGGUUCUCACUCAACUUAGUUUAGUAAUGGACGGGCAUGAGAAAAAUGGCACUAACUCUACCAAAACCAUGUAUGUUUUGCAUAAACCACAUGUGCCGUACUAACUCCCAGCGCUACCAACAGCAACACCAUGUCGUAUAGUUAUCUGGUGAUCUUAUGGGUGUAUUAAGAUGAAGAAAUUCAAAAGGAAAAGAUCAAACCACUUGAAAGUCUUCCACAACCCAUACCCACAAACUAAAUAAAAGACUGGUUUCACAACAAACCCAGACCACUAGUUAAAUGCACAUGGAUAAUAAAUAUAUAAUGAAGCUCCCAGUGCCAAACUAAAAUAAAUACAAGCGACCAGGUUGAUAGUAAUAAGAGAGCGACUACAGUGGCAAGUGAAAUGCUGCAUACCAAUUAAGUAUAAGCCCAUCUGUGCAGCUUCUAAUUGCCAUAUACAGUUGAUGGACAAUGUGUAGACAUCAUAAGAAGCCUUCAAUCCCAUGGAUUGUGCUCCAUAUACAGCUUCUCAUUGCCAUACACGGGUUUCCAUUCCCAUUCAUUGUGCUCCAAAGAGAGAGCCUUCAAGUAGACAAUGAUUU